AGGUGGCAAGCGUUGUCCGGAAUUAUUGGGCGUAAAGCGCGCGCAGGCGGUCCUUUAAGUCUGAUGUGAAAGCCCACGGCUCAACCGUGGAGGGUCAUUGGAAACUGGGGGACUUGAGUGCAGAAGAGGAAAGCGGAAUUCCACGUGUAGCGGUGAAAUGCGUAGAGAUGUGGAGGAACACCAGUGGCGAAGGCGGCUUUCUGGUCUGUAACUGACGCUGAGGCGCGAAAGCGUGGGGAACAAACAGGAUUAGAUACCCUGGUAGUCCACGCCGUAAACGAUGAGUGCUAAGUGUUAGAGGGUUUCCGCCCUUUAGUGCUGCAGCUAACGCAUUAAGCACUCCGCCUGGGGAGUACGGCCGCAAGGCUGAAACUCAAAGGAAUUGACGG
rnacentral:rRNA from 1 species